GACGAACGCUGGCGGCGUGCUUAACACAUGCAAGUCGAACGGAACGGCCCUGCUUUUGUGCGCUGCUCGAGUGGCGAACGGGUGAGUAACACGUGAGUAACCUGUCCCUGACUUUGGGGUAACUUCAGGACACUGGGGCUAAUACCGCAUAGGAGCUCCCGCUGCAUGGUGGGGGCUGGAAAGUUUCGGUGGUUGGGGAUGGACUCGCGGCGUAUCGGCUUGAUGGUGGGGUAGUGUCUUACCAAGGCUUUGACGGGUAGCCGGCCUGAGAGGAGGACCGGCCACGCUGGAACGGGAAUACGACACAGACCCCUACGGGACGCAGCGGUGGGGAAUAUUGCAUAAUGGGCGGAAGCCAAGUGCAGCAACGCCGCGUGCGGGGUGACAUGCAGCGGUUAGUAAACCACUGCCGCCUGUGACGAAGCGUGAGUGACGGUAACGGGUAAAGAAGCACCGGCUAACUACGUG
rnacentral:rRNA from 1 species